rnacentral:rRNA from 1 species
ACGCGUAAGAACUUGCCUCUUAGUCCGGGACAACAUCUGGAAACGGAUGCUAAUACCGGAUAUUAUGGNUUUUUUCGCAUGGAGGAAUCAUGAAAGCUAGAUGCGCUAAGAGAGAGCUUUGCGUCCCAUUAGCUCGUUGGUGAGGUAACGGCCCACCAAGGCAAUGAUGGGUAGCCGGCCUGAGAGGGUGAACGGCCACAAGGGGACUGAGACACGGCCCUUACUCCUACGGGAGGCAGCAGUGGGGAAUAUUGGACAAUGGACCACAAGUCUGAUCCAGCAAUUCUGUGUGCACGAUGACGUUUUUCGGAAUGUAAAGUGCUUUCAGUCGGGAAGAAGUCAGUGACGGUACCGACAGAAGAAGCGACGGCUAAAUACGUGCCAGCAGCCGCGGUAAUACGUAUGUCGCAAGCGUUAUCCGGAUUUAUUGGGCGUAAAGCGCGUCUAGGCGGCAAGGAAAGUCUGAUGUGAAAAUGC